GUGCGAUGAAGGUUAAUGAUAAGUUUCGGCUGACUCAAAUUGAUGACACCUUUAAUAUGCUGAGCACU
ensembl:snoRNA F19H8.6 ncRNA